UGGGGAAUAUUGGACAAUGGGCGCAAGCCUGAUCCAGCCAUGCCGCGUGUGUGAAGAAGGCCUUCGGGUUGUAAAGCACUUUCAGCGAGGAGGAAGGGUGGUGUGUUAAUAGCACAUCAUUUUGACGUUACUCGCAGAAGAAGCACCGGCUAACUCUGUGCCAGCAGCCGCGGUAAUACAGAGGGUGCAAGCGUUAAUCGGAAUUACUGGGCGUAAAGCGCACGUAGGCGGUUUUUUAAGUCAGAUGUGAAAGCCCCGGGCUCAACCUGGGAAUUGCAUUUGAAACUGGGAAACCUAGAGUGUGUGAGAGGGGGGUUAGAAUUCCAAGUGUAGCGGUGAAAUGCGUAGAGAUUUGGGAGGAAUACCAGUGGCGAAGGCGGCCCCCCUGGCACAACACUGACGCUCAGGUGCGAAAGCGUGGGGAGCAAACAGGAUUAGAUACCCUGGUAGUCCACGCCGUAAACGAUGUCUACUAGCUGUUCGUGACCUUGUGUUGUGAGUAGCGCAGCUAACGCACUAAGUAGACCGCCUGGGGAGUACGGUCGCAAGAUUAAAAGCUU
rnacentral:rRNA from 1 species